rnacentral:lncRNA from 1 species
GUUGUUUUCGUACUCGAGUACCGGAAAUCGAAAUGUCAACAAUGGCCAAACUCGGUUUCGAAAUUCUAGAAUACGCCGGCCGGAGCUACGGUUCACUAUUUUCUCUCACUUGGAAUAUUCCGGUCGGAGCCAACGGAUCCUUUUCUGAUCUUUCCUAUCUAGAUGUUUAGUCGUGAAUCCUUCACUAUCCUCCAAAUAACGUGGGCGCCAAAAUGUAGUCGCACUAUCUGGGCAUGAAUAA